rnacentral:rRNA from 1 species
AACGAACGCUGGCGGCAUGCCUAACACAUGCAAGUCGAACGAGACCUUCGGGUCUAGUGGCGCACGGGUGCGUAACGCGUGGGAACCUGCCCUUAGGUUCGGAAUAACUCCCCGAAAGGGGUGCUAAUACCGGAUAAUGUCUUCGGACCAAAGAUUUAUCGCCUUUGGAUGGGCCCGCGUUGGAUUAGCUAGUUGGUAGGGUAAAAGCCUACCAAGGGGACGAUCCAUAGCUGGUCGGAGAGGAUGAUCAGCCACACUGGGACUGAGACACAGCCCAGACUCCUACGGGAGGCAGCAGUGGGGAAUAUUGGACAAGGGGCGAAAGCCUGAUCCAGCAGUGCCGCGUGAGUGAUGAAGGCCUUAGGGUUGUAAAGCUCUUUUACCCGGGAUGAUAAUGACAGUACCGGGAGAAUAAGCUCCGGCUAACUCCGUG